rnacentral:rRNA from 1 species
AUGAACACAUCCACUUUGGACAUGAGUUCUUCGUCAUCUUCAUCUGGCGACGAUGAACUCAUACUUGCAGCAUUCGCCGAGCGCGAGGAGGAAGAGAGGAUGAACGCUCGACGCCAUGGCGGUUCCAAGCAUGGACGUCAAACAAUCAAUCGAGGAAGAGAUGCCGGAUUUGUUCUUCUGUGGGACGACUACUUCAAAGAAGUUCCUCGCUAUCCCGAACAUUUGUUUCGACGAAGAUUUAGGAUGUCCCGUAAUUUGUUCAAACGCAUAGCCGAUGGUAUACUUGAGCAUGAUUAUGAUGGUUAUUUUACUCAAAAAAGAAGUGCGUCUGGAGCUCUUGGGUUACAUCCUCUGCAAAAGAUGACCGCGGCAAUGCGGAUGCUAACAUAUGGAAUAGCAGCUGAUGGUGCUGAUGAGUACAUCCGGUCCGUCGAGGCUACUAAUUUAGAGUCUUGCAAGAAAUUUGUGAUCAAAGUUUGUGAAGUUUUUGGGGAAACGUACCUGAGAUCUCCAAAUGAAGAAGACAUUGCUAGGUUACUUGCAAUAGGGGAUGAAAGAGGAUUUCCUGGUAUGUUAGGGAGCAUAGAUUGCAUGCACUGGGGUUGGAAAAAUUGCCCCAAAAAAUGGCAUGGCAUGUUUAAAGGCCAUGUCAGCGAGCCCACUAUGAUCUUGGAAGCAGUUGCUUCACAAGAUCUUUGGAUUUGGCAUGCUUAUUUUGGUUUACCAGGGUCUCUGAAUGAUAUAAAUGUUCUUCAACGUUCUCCUGUUUUUACAAAGAUAGCUGAAGGCCAAACUCCUCCAGUGAAUUAUAGCAUCAAUGGCCAUCAGUACACAAUGGGGUAUUAUCUUGCAGAUGGUAUCUAUCCACGGUGGGCAACAUUUGUGAAGAGCAUACCAGCUCCAGAUACCAGAAAACAUAAAACUUUUGCCAAGAGGCAAGAGGGGGCUAGGAAAGAUGUGGAACGAGCCUUUGGAGUUCUUCAAUCCCGUUUUGCCAUUGUUCGUGGACCUGCUAAAGGAUGGAAACGUAAAGAAAUCGGUGAUGUCAUGAAAGCUUGUGUCAUCAUGCACAAUAUGAUAGUUGAAGAGGAGCGACAAACUGGUCGGCAAAGCUGCACUUUUGAGGCAAUGGGAGAAAGAGUCACGGUCUCUCGUACUCAUGCGGAACAACUGAGCUCUUUUAUUCAGAUGACUCACCGGAUUAGAAAUCAAGGUGAACAUGAUCAGCUUAAACUUGAUCUAAUUGACCAUGUCUGGCAAAAGUUUGGAAACGAGUGA